CCUACGGGAGGCAGCAGUAGGGAAUUUUCGUCAAUGGGCGCAAGCCUGAACGAGCGAUGCCGCGUGAGUGAAGAAGGCCUUCGGGUCGUAAAGCUCUGUUGCGGGGGAAAAAAGGCAGCAUCAGGAAAUGGGUGCUGACUGAUGGUGCCCCGCCAGAAAGUCACGGCUAACUACGUGCCAGCAACCGCGGUAAUGCGUAGGUGGCGAGCGUUAUCCGGAAUGAUGGGGCGUAAAGGGUGGGCAGGCGGUCCUGCAAGUCUGGAGUGAAACGCAUGGGCUCAACUCAUGCAUGGCUUUGGAAACUGGAGGACUGGAGAGCAGGAGAGGGCGGUGGAACUCCAGGUGUAGCGGUAAAAUGCGUAGAUAUAUGGAAGAACACCAGUGGCGAAGGCGGCCGCCUGGCCUGUUGCUGACGCUGAGGCACGAAAGCGUGGGGAGCAAAUAGGAUUAGAUACCCGAGUAGUC
rnacentral:rRNA from 1 species